GGAUUGCGGUCACCUUUGUCAUGUCGAUAAGCCUCGGAAUGUUGUGAAGUUGAUUGCGGAUUUUGCUCGAGCCAAAUAACUCUGAGACCAAGAGCCAUUGCACCAGAUUUGCAGAAGGUAGAUGCUUUAGUAUCAGCAUUAGGGCUUUUUCAGUUCAAGUAAUAACUCAACUGUGGAUUUCUCUGUCUCUUAGUUAUCUUUUUUCUUGUAUAUAUACAUAAUAUAAAUAUUUUUUAAAAAGAAAGAAAUAAGAAAAAAAAUGGGAACUAUUGAUGGGUACUUUAAACUUUAAUGAGUAUUUAAUAAAUUAAUUAAUUCCUAAAUUAUGAGAAAAUUACAUAAUUUCUUAGAUGGUAAAAGGGGUUUUAAGAAACUAAGUAAACUUUAAAGGGUCUUUAAGAAAAUUAAUUAAUUUCUUAAGAGUUGCUUAAAACCUUAAAGGCCUUUUAAAAAAAUAACAAAAUCUUAAACCAUGAAAAGUUACUUAAUUUCUUACUAGUUCCAACCUUAAGAAAUUAAUUGGUAAACCAUGAAAUGAUUACGUAAAUCUUUAAUGUCUCAUUUAAUAAUACGAGAAAAAAAGUUUACUUAUUAUUACAAAUGUUUUACAAUAGUUACAUCAAAAUAAAGAACAAUUAGUUCAAAAUUAGGAAGAUGAGUACUAACUCUUGUAAAAAAUAAAACAUAUUAUUUCUACUUCUUGCUAAAAUUAAGUCAUGUAUUACCAAUUAAAUUAAUUCAUUACCGACUCAUAUUGUACAAAGCCCAAAUUUGCCCCAGCCCAACAAACUAAAUUAAACCCAAAAACAGCAAGCCCAAUGGCCCAAUCACCUAAAACGUUUCAGCAAAAAUGCCUAAUCCCCAACCCUAGGGCGCCGCAUCCCUUGCUGCUCCCAUGUGCGCCGUACGCUGCUGCCAUACCUGCCCUCUGACUCCCUGCAAGAUGAAAGAACACGCAAAGCAGAGACCAAGCAGUAGAAAAUAACAUUUUUAUUGUAUCAUUUGGAGGGAUAAAAAAGGCGGGAGAUCAUUAUCAAAAGGGGGGCUUCAUCACUGUAAUAUGAGGGGGGAUGUUUUUCUUCGUUUUUUUUUCGUUUCUUUCGGCAAAGACCGAAUACACUGUAAAAGGGGGUUCCUUUUUUAUGAGAUUGAAGAAAGAAGAAAACAAGAACAAGUUUCUAAAGCUUUUUUUUUUAAGAUUUGCAUCAUUUUCUUUCUGUCCAUCUUUUAUAUUCUUUUUUAUGUUUAGAUACUAAUAAUAAGAAUAAAAAGAGAGAAGAGGGAGAGAACUUACCGGAGUCGAUUCGCGUCUGUCGUCGGAGACUUCUUUUCCGGUGCCAAAAUGGAUCGUUGAGAACGUGAACGCCCCCUUUUUCUUGCUUUUUGGUUGUUUUGAGACUAGAUCCGGGCUCAGAGGGUUAGGGUCUAAAAAAGGGACCCUUUUUAAUCUCGCCGGCCACCGUGCACGGCGGCGCCGGCCGCGGGUGGCUACUGGUCGAAGCCCAGGUCGGAGAGGGGAAGGGUUUCAGAGGUUUUUGUAGUUUUUUUUCUGUGAUGGGGAAAGAAAUGAAAAAAAAUUAAAAAUUGGGUUUAAAUAGAGGAAGCGAAACCACAUAGUUUCAGCUGAGGACCUCAGAGCCAAAACGGCGCCGUUUUGAGCGACCCGCGCGUGACCCGACCCAUUACCAGGAGGAUCCGCGUGUUUUGUGACUAGGGUAUAAUUGCUACCCUAGUCCUUCCUCUUUAUUAACUCUUUUUAAUCAAGUUUUACAUUUUUUAAAUUUUUACCCCAUAAUUUUCCGCGAUCUCAGUUCGAUCCUUAUUUGAACGGCGCCGUUUUAGAGGAGAAGGGAAAAUUACCCUUCCAGCCCCUCUAUGUCAUUCGCGCAUUCAAACCAGUCCUUCCUCUUUUGUUUAUUUCGAAACUGCACUUUUUUUGUUUUUAUUUCAAUUUAGUCCAUGUUUUAGUUAUUUUAUUAUUUAAUUAAUUAUUUUUUAACAUUAUUAUUGCCACUACAUUACGUUAUUAUUAUCAUCAUUGUUAUUAUGCAUUUAUUUAUGUUAUCUUAAUUUCAAUUUUUCUGCUAUAUACAUACAUUCAUUCGGUUAUACGUACAUAAUUUUUAAUUUAUUUGUGUAUAUAUACUCAUAUAUAUUAUUUAUACUUUAUGCCUUAUAUACAUACAUAUAUGUACACAUGCACACAUGCGUUUCUACAAUACAUGUAUAUACGUACACGUAUAUUUCAUAACUUAUACAUAUACAUACAUAUAAAUGUCUUUCAUAUUUUAUAAUUUCAAAGAAUAUAUAUACAUACUCGUACAUGUUCCUUAUAUUUUAAAAAAAUAUAUUUAUAUAUAUAUUUAAAUCUUUUAUAACAAAUAUAUACGUACAUAUGUUUCUUUUAUAUUUUAUUUAACUUAUAUACAUAUAUAUGUAAAUAUUUAUUUUAAAAUUCAUAUGUAUAUAUCUCUACAUAUAUAUUUC
rnacentral:lncRNA from 1 species